rnacentral:rRNA from 1 species
AGAGUUUGAUCCUGGCUCAGGACGAACGCUGGCGGCGUGCUUAACACAUGCAAGUCGAACGGGGUUUUACUUUAAGCUUGCUUUUUGUAAAACCUAGUGGCGCACGGGUGAGUAACACGUGGGCAACCUGCCCGGGAGUUCGGGAUAACAGCGCGAAAGUGCUGCUAAUACCGGAUACCUUCACGAGUCCUCAUGGAUUUGUGAAGAAAGAUUUAUUGCUUCCGGAUGGGCCCGCGUCCCAUUAGCUAGUUGGUGAGGUAACGGCUCACCAAGGCGACGAUGGGUAGCUGGUCUGAGAGGACGAUCAGCCACACUGGAACUGAGACACGGUCCAGACUCCUACGGGAGGCAGCAGUGGGGAAUCUUGCGCAAUGGGCGAAAGCCUGACGCAGCAACGCCGCGUGAACGAUGAAGGCCUUCGGGUCGUAAAGUUCUGUCAGGGGGGACGAUAAUGACGGUACCCCCGGAGGAAGCCCCGGCUAACUACGUGCCAGCCGCCGCGGUAAUAC